AUUGAACGCUGGCGGCAUGCUUUACACAUGCAAGUCGAACGGCAGCGCGGGCUUCGGCCUGGCGGCGAGUGGCGAACGGGUGAGUAAUGCAUCGGAACGUGCCCAGUAGUAGGGGAUAGCCCGGCGAAAGCCGGAUUAAUACCGCAUACGACCUGAGGGUGAAAGCGGGGGACCGAAAGGCCUCGCGCUAUUGGAGCGGCCGAUGUCGGAUUAGCUAGUUGGUGGGGUAAAGGCUUACCAAGGCGACGAUCCGUAGCUGGUCUGAGAGGACGACCAGCCACACUGGGACUGAGACACGGCCCAGACUCCUACGGGAGGCAGCAGUGGGGAAUUUUGGACAAUGGGGGCAACCCUGAUCCAGCCAUGCCGCGUGCGGGAAGAAGGCCUUCGGGUUGUAAACCGCUUUUGUUCGGGAAGAAAUCCUCUGGGCUAAUACCCCGGGGGGAUGACGGUACCGGAAGAAUAAGCACCGGCUAACUACGUG
rnacentral:rRNA from 1 species